GACCGACGGACGUAGUUGAACCCAGCGGAGCGGUUCAGCCCCUCGCGGUUUUAGUCUAUUGACGGGGCGAUCGGAGACCUCGUGAUCUGCCAAGAGGACCCGGAGUUCAGAAGAUUCCCGCCAAACACAAAUUCAAUGCUUUUGAAUGCAUUUUGCAAAACAAAGACUGUACUUAGAAUUCAAAAUGAUGACGAUAUCUCCAGAAAGAAGAUGAACAAAAGGUGUGAACAUUGAUGAUGGGUUAUCACUGUCCCAUUGAAUUAUGUUUGAUCAGAUUUAAGAAUUAAAGAACAUUUGAUGCUUCUUUCUAAAA